GAUGAACGCUGGCGGCGUGCCUAAUACAUGCAAGUCGAGCGAACAGAUGAGGAGCUUGCUCCUCUGACGUUAUCGGCGGACGGGUGAUUAACACGUGGAUAACCUACCUAUAAGACUGGGAUAACUUCGGGAAACCGGAGCUAAUACCGGAUAAUAUAUUGAACCGCAUGGUUCAAUAGUGAAAUACGGUUUUGCUGUCACUUAUAGAUGGAUCCGCGCCGCAUUAGCUAGUUGGUAAGGUAACGGCUUACCAAGGCAACGAUGCGUAGCCGACCUGAGAGGGUGGUCGGCCACACUGGCACUGAGACACGGUCCAGACUCCUACGGGAGGCAGCAGUAGGGACUCUUACGCGAUGGGCGAAAGCCUGACGGAGCAAAGCCGCGUGAGUGAUGAAGGUCUUCGGAUCGGAAAACUCUGUUAUCAGGGAAGAACAAAUGUGUAAGUAACUAUGCUCGUCUUGACGGUACCUAAUCAGAAAGCUACGGCUAACUACGUG
rnacentral:rRNA from 1 species